ACGGCCAACCCUCUGAGUCCUUCCUUGCUUUGCGCAGGGCCCCGCGGGGGGUGACAUGAAGCUUGGCUCUGUGUUGCAACUUGGUCGGUUGGCGGUUACCUCUAGACAUUAUAGACAACAACUAAAAGGAAGUCUGUGUUUGCAGAGGCCCAAACUUGGAGACCCUUGCAUUAAACCCGUAUCUGUGAACCGAAGGCAGAAGACAGAGGAGAUGGAAGACUCAAGCAGCCCCGGCUCCUCCAGCCUGAGUCCUAGAAGCAGAGACACGUGGAGCCCCCCUCCAAACCUACCACCCGGGGCAGAACUGCUGCAGCCUACCCACACACCCAUGAGCAACGAAUGACAAGGUACUCUUUGCUGCCAGUGCCCAGCUUGGGAGUACUUUUCAACACUGUAUCUGGUAACUCACUAGCAAUCAAUCAGAAAUGGCAGGUAAGAUGAAACUUACUACUUGGCACCCCCCAUCUGGUGUUUAUUUAAAGGAGAGUCAAGGAUGGUGAGGAGUCUAGAAACCACAUUUUAUGGUGAGUAAUUAAGAGCACUGGAGUAACUCAUAAAUACACAUGAUGUUAUAGUGGAAAGAUUCUUAGAAGCCAUCCCACAUCUCCUAUUUGAAGCAAAUUUAUUUAUUUAUUUAUUUAUUUUGGAGAAGUCAUUGAGAAGACAGUAUCAUUCCUAUUCUUCAUUCAUCCUUUCUUUGAUUUCCACUCGGUUGUAUGUAUUUAAUUAUAUAUACAAUAACUACAAAUAUACAUAUGAAGAAUAUAAUGCAGCUUACAAACCAAGGCAAAAAGAUAGAUAUUAUCAGUUCUAUAAUUCUCAUUAGAAGAAAUCGGGAUCUCCUAGUAGAUUGUUUUUAACAACGGCCACAUUAUUCCUUCCUUUUAUUUACUCACUUUUGCAAUGUGACUCUGUAGCUCCUUUUAGCAACAGGUGGGGACUAUUUUCCCACCCCUUCAAUCUGGGCUGGCUUGAGACUUGCUUUGACCAACAUUAUGCAGCAGAUGUGAUGUUGUGCCGUUCUGAGCCUAGGCCUCAAGGGGCCUUGUAAUACUCCCCUCCACAAACCCUGCCCUGCCUCCGAGGCAAGUCAGCCUAGCCUGCGGCAGCACAAGACAACACACAGAACACAACUGAAUAGUGCCGCUCUCAGGGCUUAGGCCUCAGACCUGUGAGACAGCAAGAUCAGAGACCUGACCCAGAUGAGCAGAACUGCUCAGUCUACCAUAGACUCACAGGCAAUGAUAAAUGCUUGUUGUUUUAUCCCCACUGAAUUUUGAGGAGAGUUUGGUUUGUUGUGUGGCAACAGAUCACUGAUGCAGACCUUAUGGAGGAAAGCAAAGCAUCCAGCUACUGAAUUGUAAAAUGGAAUUUCUCGCGUGGUGCAAUACCAUUGCCCUGCCCCCACCACGAAUAUUUUCGUUGGGGUCUCUCAGUCCCCCGCAGUACACUCUGCUGUGUUCUUAGGCACACACCCGGGAAAAACUUACUCCCUCUGUGUUCUGUCUUGAUGGCCUUGGUCUGUUUCAAAAUGGCAGCUACAAAUUUUUCCAAUAUUGUAGCAAUGUUGGUAACUUAUAUCCAAUAGUAGGAAUUACACCUAAUCACUGUAAGCCAUGUUUGCUAAUCUGUUAAUACAACGGGGUUAAAAUUAAGGAUUUCUAAAAUUCUCCGUAGUUCUCUGGAUUUUUUAUAUUCAUAUGCCUAGAAUAUGAACGUUAUGCUUUCGAAGACUAGUUAUUGGAAAAUAUCCACGUAUGAAAUUAAAUUAAAAUGCAGGAAAGAAAACAUUAUCCUAUUACUGUAAGAAUAUAUAGAAAUGUAAAUACAUGGAACACUCAGAAAGGGAAAGAGGGAGGGACGGAGGGAAAAUACUUGAAAAUGUUAGUUUCUGGGUGGUGGGUUGCUAUAUAAUUUUCUUUUUCUUUUUUUUUCCCACAAAUGUCUAUACUGAGCACACUUCAAUUCAGAGUCCAAAUACCCUUGCGAAGACCUGUUGAAGUCCCGUGCUUUCUGCACAGCAGCCCCUGCCUGCCCAGGAUGCGGAACGCUGGGCGGCGCAGGUCGUCGGCUGCUUUGAAACGGUUCCAAAGCAGCCCCGCCGGCGUGCGGCGGGAGGGACGCGAAUGCUCGGAAGAGCCGUCCCACGUGCUUUCGGGGAAACGGCCCUGGAGCGAGAAGGAGCAGAAUUGGGAGGAAACCGAAAAGCGAAAGGAGCUCUUGGGCCUCCUGAACAUGUGAGGUACAGAAAAAUCCCUUGGAUUUGCCAGAAGCAUACUCAUUCCUUAUGGGUUUGGGGGGCCUUCCUUGCUGCCUUAAGAUUUGAGGAAGUCCACUGGAAGCUGCCUUCUUUCAACAUUUAUUCCAGAUAAAGGCACUGAUACUCAGUACAGUUGGGUCAAAGUGAGUCGUUGUGAAAAAGAAUUUGACAAGGGAUUAGUAAAAUGGACAUCUGUGAUUGGUCUGGGAUGGGUGGGGGAGGAGUGAAAAUGUGAUUAAUAUUUUAAAAAUAAAUCUACAUUUUAUUUCAUUAAAUGCUACUUAUUUGCUGCCAGUUGUAAGAAAAAAAAAUAUUCCGGGGGAGGAUUCGGUAGAAAUUUGGUGAUCUAAAUGCCCUUCCCAUUCACUGUACUUCAUCUCAUGUGGCACACCUUAGCCUCAACUAAACAGGUAUCUCCAGGAAUCCUCUGACAAAAUCCCAUUACUCUUACAAAGAUGAUUUCUAGAAUGCAAGACUCACACUCUUGGGAAGUAACUCUAUACUGUAAUCAAGAACUUGGUUUUGAUUUUCUGAAUCUAAGUGCAAAUAGCCACUUGCUGAACUCUUCUUCUUACUAUAUGGCCUCUGUGUCUGUUAGAGAGAGCAAACUACAUAUGUCCUUGUAUCGUCUGCCCUCAAAUAACGAUAAUGGUUGAGAUCACAUAUGAAACCUCGGCAUUCUGCUACCAGGCUCCAUAUUGAGAUGUUUUUAAACAUUUUGCUGAGUAAGAGUG